AAUAGAUACCCGGUAGUCCACGCCCUAAACGAUGUCGACUAGGUGUUGGGGAAGGAGACUUCCUUAGUACCGCAGCUAACGCGUGAAGUCGACCGCCUGGGAGUACGGUCGCAAGAUUAGAACUCAAAGGAAUUGACGGGGACCCGCACAAGCGGUGGAUGAUGUGGAUUAAUUCGAUGCAACGCGAAAAACCUUACCUACCCUUGACAUGGUCGGAAGCCCGAUGAGAGUUGGGUGUGCCCGAAAGGGAGCCGACACACAGGUGCUGCAUGGCUGUCGUCAGCUCGUGUCGUGAGAUGUUGGGUUAAGUCCCGCAACGAGCGCAACCCUUGCCAUUAGUUGCCACAUUCAGUUGGGCACUCUAAUGGGACUGCCGGUGACAAACCGGAGGAAGGUGGGGAUGACGUCAAGUCCUCAUGGCCCUUAUGGGUAGGGCCUCACACGUCAUACAAUGGCGCAUACAGAGGGUUGCCAACCCGCGAGGGGGAGCCAAUCCCAGAAAGUGCGUCGUAGUCCGGAUCGGAGU
rnacentral:rRNA from 1 species